rnacentral:rRNA from 1 species
AUUGAACGCUGGCGGCAGGCUUAACACAUGCAAGUCGAGCGGGGUGAUGGUGCUUGCACUAUCACUUAGCGGCGGACGGGUGAGUAAUGCUUAGGAAUCUGCCUAUUAGUGGGGGACAACAUCUCGAAAGGGAUGCUAAUACCGCAUACGUCCUACGGGAGAAAGCAGGGGAUCACUUGUGACCUUGCGCUAAUAGAUGAGCCUAAGUCGGAUUAGCUAGUUGGUGGGGUAAAGGCCUACCAAGGCGACGAUCUGUAGCGGGUCUGAGAGGAUGAUCCGCCACGCUGGGACUGAGACACGGCCCAGUCUCCUACGGGAGGCAGCAGUGGGGAAUAUUGGACAAUGGGGGGAACCCUGAUCCAGCCAUGCCGCGUGUGUGAAGAAGGCCUUAUGGUUGUAAAGCACUUUAAGCGAGGAGGAGGCUCUUUUGGUUACUACCCAAGAUGAGUGGACGUUACUCGCAGAAUAAGCACCGGCUAACUCUGUGCCAGCAGCCGCAGUAA